ACGACGUGGCCCAGCUCUGAGCUGUCAGUUACUCCACAGGGCCAGCGCGAUUUUGGUGCCACAGUUGGGAGUGAGGCUUUUGUUCCACAACAAAAACAAGAGCCUGAAUGGCAGGGCUUCCAGCGUCUGGCCCGUCCAGUCAGGCGUAAAGGAACCUGCAUCUCAGAUGUGGGUGACCUGUCAUUAGUCAGCUCCCUCUGCUUCUAAACGACCAAGCGACCACGUGGAGACAACUGGCAAAUUAAGGCUCAUGUGUCGAAGAAGGUUUGGUUCCUAGCUGAUGAUGCUAUUAGGACGUGGUGGGAACUUCAGGAGGCCUUGCCUGAGCAGGAACCUGGAAGCCUUAAUAACUAUGGCAUUGCUCAUCAGUGACAAGAAAUAUUUUUAAGGUGAUAAAAAUGCUUUGGAACUUGACAGAGGUGGUGAUUGUACAACAUGGAGAAUAUGUUGAAUGCCACAGAAUCAUCCACUUUGAAUAAACGAUAUUAUGUUCUGCGAAUUUCACCUCAAUAAGAAUUUUGAAGAAAGGAGUGAAAUGCUGUUAUAAUCUACAACAUGAAUGAACCUUGAAAACAUGUUAUAGGAAAGAAACCAGAGAUAAUGGUCACAUUCUACAUGAGACCAUUCACAUGAAAUGUCCAGAACAGGCAAAUCCACAAAGGUGGAGGUGUUGUGGCUGACAGCUGACAGGGACAGGUUUUCUUCGGGGUGAUGAUGGGAACGUUUUGUAAUUAUACAGUAGUGAGGCUGCAUGGCAUGGUAAAUAUACUUAAAAACCCACUGGACUUUCACCUUGAAGUGGUAAAGUUUGUUAUAUUAACUUUCAUGUGACAAAAAAAAGAAAAGAAAAGAAAAACGAUACAAAGAAGAUGUAGGACAAGAUUUUGUAGAAGUGUGUUAGACAGUUAAUUAAUAACAGUUAACAAGGUAAUAAGGGAAAAGAAAAAAUCUGAGAAAAUGAAAAAUUGGAAAUAAAGUGUUUGUA